GACGAACGCUGGCGGCGUGCUUAACACAUGCAAGUCGAACGGUAAGGCCCUUCGGGGUACACGAGUGGCGAACGGGUGAGUAACACGUGGGUGAUCUGCCCUGCACUUCGGGAUAAGCCUGGGAAACUGGGUCUAAUACCGGAUAGGCCCACUGCCUGCAUGGGGGGAGGUGGAAAGCUUUUGCGGUGUGGGAUGGGCCCGCGGCCUCUCAGCUUGUUGGUGGGGUGAUGGCCUACCAAGGCGACGACGGGUAGCCGGCCUGAGAGGGUGACCGGCCACACUGGGACUGAGACACGGCCCAGACUCCUGCGGGAGGCAGCAGUGGGGAAUAUUGCGCAAUGGGCGAAAGCCUGACGCAGCAACGCCGCGUGCGGGAUGACGGCCUCCGGGUUGUAAACCGCUUUCAGCAGGGAAGAAGCCGCAAGGUGACGGUACCUGCAGAAGAAGCACCGGCUAACUACGUGCCAGCCGCCGCCGUAA
rnacentral:rRNA from 1 species